rnacentral:lncRNA from 1 species
AAAUACCAAAAUAAAUAAAGACAAACAUAUAUACAAAUAAAAGGGAAAUAAAAUAAAAUACAAAAAACCACAUCAAUUUUGCACAUUCAAUUAACAAGGCCUGAUUCUCUAGAGUCCCCAGCAGAGUCGCCAGCUGUCGCAACCAAGAUCGCGACGGGACGACGAACCGAAAAACAAACAAACGGUUUUAAGAAAAGAUUUUG